UGGGGAAUAUUGGACAAUGGGGGCAACCCUGAUCCAGCCAUGCCGCGUGUGUGAAGAAGGCCUUUUGGCUGUAAAGCACUUUAAGCAGGGAGGAGAGGCUAAUGGUUAAUACCCAUUAGAUUAGACGUUACCUGCAGAAUAAGCACCGGCUAACUCUGUGCCAGCAGCCGCGGUAAUACAGAGGGUGCGAGCGUUAAUCGGAAUUACUGGGCGUAAAGCGAGUGUAGGUGGCUCAUUAAGUCACAUGUGAAAUCCCCGGGCUUAACCUGGGAACUGCAUGUGAUACUGGUGGUGCUAGAAUAUGUGAGAGGGAAGUAGAAUUCCAGGUGUAGCGGUGAAAUGCGUAGAGAUCUGGAGGAAUACCGAUGGCGAAGGCAGCUUCCUGGCAUAAUAUUGACACUGAGAUUCGAAAGCGUGGGGUAGCAAACAGGAUUAGAUACCCUGGUAGUCCACGCCGUAAAACGAUGUCUACUAGCCGUUGGGGUCCUUGAGACUUUAGUGGCGCAGUUAACGCGAUAAGUAGACCGCCUGGGGAGUACGGCCGCAAGGUUAAAACUCAAAUGAAUUGACGGGGUCAUAGCUGUUUCCUG
rnacentral:rRNA from 1 species